rnacentral:lncRNA from 1 species
UGAGAAUGAUGAAUGCUUCAACUCUGGAGUUUCGUAGGGAGAUGGUGCUGGAGUAUAAAAACUGGCAAAUGUAGCCUCAGCUCCAAAGGAUUGAACUUGAGAAGAUCCAACCAGUCUGUCAAAGGAGUAACAAAUUUGCAAAGUCUUUCGCUAGAAUUGAAAACAAAUAGAGAAAUUCACUGUGAACACGUACACGCUGAUACCAUGGGUGCCCGUUGCAUCUUAAGAAGGCUCCUGAUGCCUCCAAGGAGUGAAGAGAUUUGCUCAAGGCCAGCCCAGCACCUAGUUUAUUACAGAACUAGAAUUAGAACCCGGGUUUUAUGAAGUCUCAGGCAAGCAAGAGCUCUUCAACGUCAGAAUGCUUCCUCCCGUUCUCCAGUAAUGAUUAUGAAACAUACAUUUCUCUUUGAUUCCCAGAAAUUUCCCCCUAUGGCUAACACAGUUUUACUUGAUAUGUGAGAACAUAGCACAAAAUAAAAGUUGCAUUGAGUCACAG